rnacentral:tRNA from 1 species
CUACCCGUAGCUCAGCUGGAUAGAGCAGCAGACUCCGACUCUGCAGGUCGUGCGUUCAAAUCGCAUCGGGUAGG